rnacentral:rRNA from 1 species
UGUAAGCGUAUACCAAAGUUGUUGCAGUUAAAACGCUCGUAGUCGAAUUUUGGUGUGAGUUAUGGAGACUCCUACUGGAUGUUGAAGUAACUUCGCCUUUGUGGAGGGGGGUGUGGUGGUACUUUAUUGUAUUGCUGCAUUUCCGCCACUGUUUACUGUGAAAAAAUUAGAGUGUUCAAAGCGAGCGUUUGCCAUGAAUACAUUAGCAUGGAAUAAUAGAAUAGGACCUGGUUCUGUUUUAUUGGUUUGUCUGUAUCAGGCAAUGAUUAACAGGGACGGUCGGGGGUAUUUGUAUUCCAGCGUUAGAGGUGAAAUUCUUGGAUCGCUGGAAGACAGACAGCUGCGAAAGCGUCUACCAAGGACGUUUUCAUUGA